AUGAAUGUCGCACUCAUAUUGCGGUGGGUCUGGCGGAUUCUACGCGGCGAGGGCGACUUAUGGCUAUAGCUCAUUCAGGCAAAAUACCUUAGGUGUGAGGCUCUCAUGGUGAGUUCCCAUGCGGGAGGAUCACAGUUUUGGAGGUCCAUCCAAAAUAUCAAGGAGGACAUCCGCCUAGGGAUUUCCUUCUCCAUAGGGAAUGGGGGUAGGACCCAAUUUUGGUUGGACCUCUAG
rnacentral:rRNA from 1 species